CAUGGCUUGAACAACAACAUUUUCAUCAUUCACACAAUGCAAUCAAAUUUCAUGGGUUUAACAUCUACCUUUUCAUCAUUCACACCAUUCAAUCAAAUUUCACGGGUUUAUCAUUAACAUUUUCAUCAUUCACACAAUUCAAUCAAAUUCCAUGGGUUUAACAACAACAUUUUCAUCAUUCACACAAUUCAAUCAAAUUUCAUAGGUUUAACAACAACAUUUUCAUCAUUUACACAAUUCAAUCAAAUUUCAUGGGUUUAACAACAACAUUUUCAUCAUUCACACAAUUCAAUCAAAUUCCAUGGGUUUAACAAUAACAUUUUCAUCAUUCACACAAUUCAAUCAAAUUCCAUGGGUUUAACAAUGACAUUUUCAUCAUUCACACAAUUCAAUCAAAUUCCAUGGGUUUAACAAUAACAUUUUCAUCAUUCACAUAAUUCAAUCAAAUUUCAUGGGUUUAACAACAACAUUUUCAUCAUU
rnacentral:lncRNA from 1 species